GAUGAACGCUGGCUGUGUGCCUAAUACAUGCAUGUCGAGCGAGGUUCUUUUGAACCUAGCGGCGAAUGGGUGAGUAACACGUACUUAAUCUACCCUUUAGAUUGGAAUACCCAAUGGAAACAUUGGCUAAUGCCGGAUACGCAUGAAAUCGCAUGAUUUCAAUGUGAAAGGAGCCCUUAAAGCUCCACUAAAGGAUGAGGGUGCGGAACAUUAGUUAGUUGGUAGGGUAAUGGCCUACCAAGACUAUGAUGUUUAGCCGGGUCGAGAGACUGAACGGCCACAUUGGGACUGAGAUACGGCCCAAACUCCUACGGGAGGCAGCAGUAGGGAAUAUUCCACAAUGAGCGAAAGCUUGAUGGAGCGACACAGCGUGCACGAUGAAGGUCUUCGGAUUGUAAAGUGCUGUUAUAGGGAAAGAACACUUGGUUGAGGAAAUGCUUCCAAGCUGACGGUACCCUGUCAGAAAGCGAUGGCUAACUAUGUGCCAGCAGCCGCGGUAAUACAUAGGUCGCAAGCGUUAUCCGGAAUUAUUGGGCGUAAAGCGUUCGUAGGCUGUUUAUUAAGUCUGGAGUCGAAUACCAGGGCUCAACCCUGGCUCGCUUUGGAUACUGGUAAACUAGAGUUAGAUAGAGGUAAGCGGAAUUCCAUGUGAAGCGGUGAAAUGCGUAGAUAUAUGGAAGAACACCAAAGGCGAAGGCAGCUUACUGGGUCUAUACUGACGCUGAGGGACGAAAGCGUGGGGAGCAAACAGGAUUAGAUACCCUGGUAGUCCACGCCGUAAACGAUGAUCAUUAGUCGGUGGAGAAUUCACUGACGCAGCUAACGCAUUAAAUGAUCCGCCUGAGUAGUAUGCUCGCAAGAGUGAAACUUAAAGGAAUUGACGGGGACCCGCACAAGCGGUGGAGCAUGUGGUUUAAUUUGAAGAUACGCGGAGAACCUUACCCACUCUUGACAUCCUUCGCAAUGCUAUAGAGAUAUAGCGGAGGUUAACGGAGUGACAGAUGGUGCAUGGUUGUCGUCAGCUCGUGUCGUGAGAUGUUUGGUCAAGUCCUGCAACGAGCGCAACCCCUAUCUUUAGUUACUAACGAGUCAUGUCGAGGACUCUAGAGGUACUGCCUGGGUAACUGGGAGGAAGGUGGGGAUGACGUCAAAUCAUCAUGCCUCUUACGAGUGGGGCAACACACGUGCUACAAUGGUCGGUACAAAGAGAAGCAAUAUGGCGACAUGGAGCAAAUCUCAAAAAGCCGAUCUCAGUUCGGAUUGGAGUCUGCAAUUCGACUCCAUGAAGUCGGAAUCGCUAGUAAUCGCAGAUCAGCUACGCUGCGGUGAAUACGUUCUCGGGUCUUGUACACACCGCCCGUCACACCAUGGGAGCUGGUAAUACCCAAAGUCGGUUAGCUAACCUCGGAGGCGACCGCCUAAGGUAGGACUGGUGACUGGGGUG
rnacentral:rRNA from 1 species